GACGAACGCUGGCGGCGUGCUUAACACAUGCAAGUCGAACGAUGAAGAAGAGCUUGCUCUUCGGAUUAGUGGCGAACGGGUGAGUAACACGUGACUAACCUGCCCCUUUCUCUGGGAUAACGCUACGAAAGGAGUGCUAAUACCGGAUACUCACAUCGAGGCACAUGCCUUGAUGUGGAAAGUUUUUCGGAAAGGGAUGGAGUCGCGGCCUAUCAGCUUGGUGGUGAGGUAACGGCUCACCAAGGCGACGACGGGUAGCCGGCCUGAGAGGGCGACCGGCCACACUGGGACUGAGACACGGCCCAGACUCCUACGGGAGGCAGCAGUGGGGAAUAUUGCACAAUGGGCGAAAGCCUGAUGCAGCGACGCCGCGUGAGGGAUGAAGGUCUUCGGAUUGUAAACCUCUUUCAGUAGGGACGAAGCGAAAGUGACGGUACCUAAAGAAGAAGCACCGGCUAACUACGUGCCAGCAGCCGCUGUAA
rnacentral:rRNA from 1 species